rnacentral:rRNA from 1 species
GACGAACGCUUGCGGCGUGCCUAAGAAAUGCAAGUCGAGCGAGCUCAAGCCUUCGGGCGGAAAGCUAGCGGCGAACGGUCGAGUAACACGUGAGCAACCUGCCCCAAAGCGGGGGAUAGCCCACCGAAAGGUGGAUUAAUACCGCAUGUGGCCGUUCCGGGGCAUCCCGGGACGAUUAAAGCAGCAAUGCGCUUUGGGAUGGGCUCGCGGCCUAUCAGCUUGUUGGUAGGGUAAUGGCCUACCAAGGCUAUGACGGGUAGGGGACCUGAGAGGGUGGCCCCCCACAAUGGAACUGAAACACGGUCCAUACACCUACGGGUGGCAGCAGUAGGGAAUAUUGGUAAUGGGCGAAAGCCUGAACCAGCAACGCCGCGUGUGCGAUGAAGGCCUUCGGGUCGUAAAGCACUUUUUGGUAGGGAUGAGGAAGGGACAGUACCUCCAGAAUAAGCCUCGGCUAACUACGUGCCAGCAGCGCGGUAAACUAGUCUACG